GGAGCCCACGUGGCUCGGCCACCGUUUGGGAGCGUGCGCGCCCGAGCCGGUUCAAGGGCCUGCUCGCUUCGCGGUAGGGAGCCGGGAUCUGGCUGAGGGAGCGUCCCACUCCCAUCCACUGGGGAUGCAGGCCUUGGCCCCUUAAGGGAAGGACAAAUGCACUUUUCAUCUAAAAAACCAGGGAUAAUUUCACUUCCGACUGAAAUAUAACAACCCCAGGAGGAAAGCUUGCCUAAUAGCACACAGCAACACUUCAGAACAGUUUAAGAAAGGAAGUGAAGAGGAACAUGAUAUCUAGUUGAACAUGCAGAGAGAAUUUAGACUUCCUGCUCUGACUCCAGACUUCAGCAGAUUUCUACCUGACAUCAGUGCUUGCAUGGUUUUUCAAAAGCACUUCACCCACCAUAGUGCUUCUUUUCAACAUUUGAAAUACAGUAACCUGCAGGGGAGAGGCAGCAGCAGUGAGCAGCUGUUCUACACAAUACUUUAGAACAUGGUGUGAAGAAGAAUACCCGAAUUCAAAUGAAACUACAGGUUGAUUUUAGGAAGGAGAAGGUACUUAGUCAAAAUGUUGGGUCUGAUCUAGUUUACAGCAGUGAAAAUCAGAAGUAACAGUGAUGGGGUUAACAUCAGAGUAAAAGAGAUAACAUAACAUAGCUUCUAAGGAGCUUGCAUGCACUUCUGACAGGAAGGACUCCUUCGGUGUGUGACUGCCUGAAGCAACAUAUGGAUGUCUUCCAGGGGCCCUCUUCUCAUGCCCAUGCCAAACUCCAAGAAGGGAUGCUGCACAAUUCGGCUUUCUGUUCUGCCUCAUGUGUCACCUGCAGAGGCUUCAUCUGGGGGUGCUUCUUAGUUUCUCGGCUGAAACUGCUGAUGGUAUGACAUGAGCGCAGGUGGACAGAAAUGAGACCACCAACUCGUUUCAUACAGACUACCAAACAAAUUGCCAUCAUAUGACAAUUUUUGAUCACCACCCAUCUUGGACCUGAUCCAAAGUAGUGACGUAAAGAUGAAAGCUUCUAUAUCCCAAUACAAAUCCUCUAAGCCAUUCAAGUCCCUCUAAAUCUCUGACUGUUUGUUAGCUGAAGACUUUUAGUCUGAAUAUAUAGCAUGGGUGGCAUAAAAUGCUCUUGUAAAGUGCACUGAUGUCCUUUUUAUUUUGGAUGCUUAAUCUAUUUCCUUUUUACCUUACAUACAAUUAUUUUUAUUGUACAUCUGCCCUGUGGGAGGACAGCUGUUUCAUAACAUUUUAGUUUUAUUCAACAAGUUGCCUGUUUAAUUAAUUUGCUAGAUCUAACGAGCAUGAGCUGUUAUUGCAGUUUGUUGUAUUUAUAAAUGACAAUUUUAUGUUGCCUGGGUUUACUAACUUGCGUGGGCUUAGAUUCUUAUAGCAAAACAAACAAUAAAAUAUGUU